CCUACGGGAGGCAGCAGUGGGGAAUAUUGCACAAUGGGGGAAACCCUGAUGCAGCGACGCCGCGUGAGUGAAGAAGUAUUUCGGUACGUAAAGCUCUAUCAGCAGGGAAGAAAAAAAGUCCUUUGGACUUUGGAUGGUACCUGACCAAGAAGCCCCGGCUAACGACGUGCCUGCAGCCGCGGUAAUACGUCGGGGGCAAGCGUUAUCCGGAUGUACUGGGAGUAAAGGGAGCGUAGUCGGCAGCGCAGAUCUGGAGUGAAAUUCCGGGGCCCAACCCCGGAACUGCUUUGGAAACUGUGCAGCUGGAGUGCAGGAGGGGUGAGCGGAAUUCCUAGUGUAGCGGUGGAAUGCGUAGAUAUUAGGAGGAACACCAGUGGCGAAGGCGGGUUACUGGACUGUAACUGACGUUGAGGCUCGAAAGCGUGGGGAGCAAACAGGAUUAGAUACCCCGGUAGUC
rnacentral:rRNA from 1 species